ACACCGAGGAGACCCUGUCAGCAUUCUGUCUCUGAGGCAGGGGGCAGCAGGAGCAACCUGCGGGGAGGCUGGCACAACUACACCUGCAUGCUACAGCUCUGUGCUCCACAUUGCACACCUUUUUCUUAUUGAAGUCUUUGAGGGAAAAGAUCUGAUCUGACUGACUCUCCCUGCAGGUCAUUGUGAUUCAGGUGAUCUAGCCAGAGUCCACCCUGAAAGGCACUGAGCUGGAUCGUGAGUCUUCUCACAGAAGGGAAGAGCAUGGAGAGAAGAAGCCCUCAACGAGUGUGGAAUGGGAAGCAGACACCUUCUGCACAGAGCAGGAGAGAAGGGUCUCAGUUGGAGUCUUGGGACAGAUGAGUGCUGCUGCUGAAGGGAAAACCUACUCGAAGCUGAAUUGGUGGACUUUGUUCAAUAAAGGCUGUUACUCAAAUGUAUUUAUUUAAGUCUGAGCCUUCCUUUCCAAUUGAUAGACCAAAAAACUAACAUCUGAGAGGAAAAAAAUCUCAUCACAUCUCUCUCCAGCUCUUCCCUCUAUCUCUGCCAUCCAUCCCUGGGCCUUAACCUGGACAUGGUGUAGCCACCGCCCACGUUCCUCUCUGGCCCUGGAGCCCCAGUGGACUGCAUCACCACUGGUGCGGGGAUCCACCCGAGCAGGCUCAGGCAGCUUUAUUCACCCACUGUACCUGCCAUCACACCUCAGUGGAGCUACUUAAUAAACACAACACACUGUGAAGUGUUUUUAAACCC